rnacentral:rRNA from 1 species
AGAACGAACGCUGGCGGCAUGCCUAACACAUGCAAGUCGAACGAGACCUUCGGGUCUAGUGGCGCACGGGUGCGUAACGCGUGGGAAUCUGCCCUUGGGUUCGGGAUAACAGUUGGAAACGACUGCUAAUACCGGAUGAUGACUUCGGUCCAAAGAUUUAUCGCCCAGGGAUGAGCCCGCGUCGGAUUAGCUAGUUGGUGGGGUAAAGGCCUACCAAGGCAACGAUCCGUAGCUGGUCUGAGAGGAUGAUCAGCCACACUGGGACUGAGACACGGCCCAGACUCCUACGGGAGGCAGCAGUGGGGAAUAUUGGACAAUGGGCGAGAGCCUGAUCCAGCAAUGCCGCGUGAGUGAUGAAGGCCUUAGGUUGAAAGCUCUUUACCCGGAUGAUAAUGACAGUACCGGAGAAUAAGCCCCGGAUAACGUCCGCGCCAGCAGUCGC